rnacentral:rRNA from 1 species
AUUGAACGCUGGCGGCAUGCUUUACACAUGCAAGUCGAACGGUAACAGGCCGCAAGGUGCUGACGAGCGGCGAACGGGGGCGUAAUGCAUCGGGACGUGCCCAGUCGUGGGGGAUAACUACUCGCAAGAGUAGCUAAUACCGCAUACGAUCUAUGGAUGAAAGCGGGGGACCGUAAGGCCUCGCGCGAUUGGAGCGGCCGAUGUCAGAUUAGGUAGUUGGUGGGGUAAAGGCUCACCAAGCCAACGAUCUGUAGCUGGUCUGAGAGGACGACCAGCCACACUGGGACUGAGACACGGCCCAGACUCCUACGGGAGGCAGCAGUGGGGAAUUUUGGACAAUGGGCGCAAGCCUGAUCCAGCAAUGCCGCGUGCAGGAAGAAGGCCUUCGGGUUGUAAACUGCUUUUGUACGGAACGAAACGGCUCUGGUUAAUACCCGGGGCUAAUGACGGUACCGUAAGAAUAAGCACCGGCUAACUACGUG